rnacentral:rRNA from 1 species
GACGAACGCUGGCGGCGUGCUUAACACAUGCAAGUCGAACGAUGAAGCUGGAGCUUGCUCCGGUGGAUUAGUGGCGAACGGGUGAGUAACACGUGAGCAGUCUGCCCUUGACUCUGGGAUAACUGCGGGAAACUGUAGCUAAUACCAGAUACGAGGCUCGGAGGCAUCUUCGGGUCUGGAAAGAAUUUCGGUCAAGGAUGAGCUCGCGGCCUAUCAGCUUGUUGGUGAGGUAAUGGCUCACCAAGGCGACGACGGGUAGCCGGCCUGAGAGGGUGACCGGCCACACUGGGACUGAGACACGGCCCAGACUCCUACGGGAGGCAGCAGUGGGGAAUAUUGCACAAUGGGCGAAAGCCUGAUGCAGCAACGUCGCGUGAGGGAUGAAGGCCUUCGGGUUGUAAACCUCUUUUAGCUGGGAAGAAGCGAAAGUGACGGUACCUGCAGAAAAAGCACCGGCUAACUACGUGCCAGCAGCCGCCGUAA